rnacentral:sRNA from 1 species
UAAAAUAUAAAUAUUUUAUAAAAUAAAAUUUGCAAGUUUUAAUAUAUAUUACUUUUAAAAAAUAAAUCGUCCCGCGGUAUACCGCGGAUUAAAAUCUAGUAACAUCUAGUU